AGCGAACGCUGGCGGCGUGCUUAACACAUGCAAGUCGAACGAUGAACCACUUCGGUGGGAUUAGUGGCGAACGGGUGAGUAACACGUGGGCAAUCUGCCCUUCACUCUGGGACAAGCCCUGGAAACGGGGUCUAAUACCGGAUAACACUGCCACGGGCAUCUGUGGUGGUUAAAAGCUCCGGCGGUGAAGGAUGAGCCCGCGGCCUAUCAGCUUGUUGGUGAGGUAAUGGCNCACCAAGGCGACGACGGGUAGCCGGCCUGAGAGGGCGACCGGCCACACUGGGACUGAGACACGGCCCAGACUCCUACGGGAGGCAGCAGUGGGGAAUAUUGCACAAUGGGCGAAGGCCUGAUGCAGCGACGCCGCGUGAGGGAUGACGGCCU
rnacentral:rRNA from 1 species